CGUGCCUAAUACAUGCAAGUCGAGCGAACAGACGAGGAGCUUGCUCCUCUGACGUUAGCGGCGGACGGGUGAGUAACACGUGGAUAACCUACCUAUAAGACUGGGAUAACUUCGGGAAACCGGAGCUAAUACCGGAUAAUAUAUUGAACCGCAUGGUUCAAUAGUGAAAGACGGUUUUGCUGUCACUUAUAGAUGGAUCCGCGCCGCAUUAGCUAGUUGGUAAGGUAACGGCUUACCAAGGCAACGAUGCGUAGCCGACCUGAGAGGGUGAUCGGCCACACUGGAACUGAGACACGGUCCAGACUCCUACGGGAGGCAGCAGUAGGGAAUCUUCCGCGAUGGGCGAAAGCCUGACGGAGCAACGCCGCGUGAGUGAUGAAGGUCUUCGGAUCGUAAAACUCUGUUAUUAGGGAAGAACAAAUGUGUAAGUAACUAUGCACGUCUUGACGGUACCUAAUCAGAAAGCCACGGCUAACUACGUGCCAGCAGCCGCGGUAAUACGUAGGUGGCAAGCGUUAUCCGGAAUUAUUGGGCGUAAAGCGCGCGUAGGCGGUUUUUUAAGUCUGAUGUGAAAGCCCACGGCUCAACCGUGGAGGGUCAUUGGAAACUGGAAAACUUGAGUGCAGAAGAGGAAAGUGGAAUUCCAUGUGUAGCGGUGAAAUGCGCAGGGAUAUGGAGGAACACCAGUGGCGAAGGCGACUUUCUGGUCUGUAACUGACGCUGAUGUGCGAAAGC
rnacentral:rRNA from 1 species